CUAGAUCUCAGUUUUAUAGCUCUAGAUAAAGACUGUGCUGUUUUCAACAGUUCACCCCAGGGGUGGGGGACAGGGGUCUCCUCCACCGUGUAAUGGAGACACGGCCCUUGCCACUGUCAUUCAAUCCGGAUGACCCCAUGGCUCGCGUUCCCUGCAACAGCUCCUUAAACAGAAGGGCAAGCAAACUGAUUUCCUCUUCCGGCCCAUUUAUGGCAUUGACAGAACUAUGAUGGAAGGGCGACGGGACGCGGGUGGAAUCCUUGUCGGGAAAGCAAGAGAGAAAGGGGGGGCUAGAAAAAGAUCUUGUGAGUUCAGCAGAGUCGGAUGCAAGUGGAGAAUCACUUCCUCUCGCUUCUCAAGAUCUGGCUCAAGAAAUGAAAGGACCACAUGCUUCUCUUCUCCUUUGGAUUAAUCACCAUCUUUCUAGAGUUUACAGACAGGAGACAGAGAGAGGAGAGAGGCAGAGAAAUGCAGCAGAGUGAUCCAGGCUGCCCUGCCAUUCUGGCUGCAUCCACACGGCCGUGAUCUGGACCAUCUCGGGGGCAGAACACAUGGGUUCCCUCUUUUGAGGAGUUCUGUGAUUCAACGGCCAGGAAUAGGGCAUCNUCAGUGGUGGGCCCCCAACUGUGGGACAGCCUUCCCAAUGAGAUUUGAAAAACAGCCACGUCUGAUUUAUAUCUUCUUUUGCAGGUCUUCAAGGAGUAGCUUAGGACCCAGUAUUUUGAUUUUUCUGAAGUCGCUGUGUACCUAGACUCCCCCCCCCCUUGCUUUUACUUUUACAUGUUAUAUUUGCAUUUUUUAAAAAAAUCUAUUUUUAUCUUCUAUUUUUGUUUCAUUUGGUUGUGUGUUUUUUUAAACUAUACACAGCCCUGAGUCUGUGGUACUGGUC
rnacentral:lncRNA from 1 species